rnacentral:misc_RNA from 1 species
CGUCACACCAUGAGAGUUGGCAGUACCCAAAGUUCGUGAGCUAACCCGUAAGGAGGCAGCGACCUAAGGUAGGGUCAGCGAUUGAGGUGAAGUCGUAACAAGGUAGNNGUAGGAGAACCUGCGGCUGGAUCACCUCCUUUCUAUGGAGAAAUCUAGUUAACAUGAUGUUUAACUAGUAAUUAAAAUAUACUUACUUCGAAAAAGAAGGUUUAAUUUAAUGUAGAUUCUGUUCAAUUUUGAAAGACUAAGUCUUUCAAAAUGUUCUUUGAAAAUUGCACAUAGUAAAUUGUAUAUAAUACAACAAGCCAAGAAUUAUUCUUUGUAUUUAAAUAAGAACUAUUCAUUAAUUGUUAAAAUUAGAUUAAUA